ACACAGAGCAACACAAGAGGAAGGUCAGAGCUUGGAACACUUGGCAGAAGCACAAGGGCUUCAAAUCAGCCAAAUGCUUGUUGUGUUACUUCAUCCCUUCCACCCCGAGACCAGAAGGGGUCCGUAACAAGCUAUUAGUGCCCAAAGACUUCUGGUUUCCCUUUAUGUGACAAGCGUGCUGUCCCCUACCCUUCGACCUCUAAGGGGUGAC